CCCAGUGCUUAGAUCACUGCCAGCCAGGGCCAGCCGGGUACAGGACAACAGAGCUCCACUGCUAAGCACCGAUGCCAGGAGACAAAACCUGCAGCCGGGGCCCAGGUCAAGUAAAAGAAUUUAUUCUCAGGAAUCAGCCACAGUGUGAACUGAAAAUAUUCGAGCAGAAGAACACAUCUGUGCUGACCGUGUGGACUUUUCCCUUUUCCGUGGUUCCUCAAACAGCACAGCAAGACGACCAUUUACAGGGCAUCCGUACGGCUUUAAACCGAGGGUAGAGUGUAUGUGGUUGCCUCUCUCCUGAAAUCCACAGUCUGCGCUAUGGAAUGAAAAUCUCUCCCCUCAAAGAACACACACAGAGAUGAUAAAGAGAUGACUCUGUGGUUGAAAGUACCAUACUGCUCUCACAGAGGACUAGAGUGCAGUUUUCAGCCCAUGUUGGACAGCUUACAACCAACUCCAGGUCCACGGUGUCUGAUGCUUUCUUCUAGCCCCUGAGCACAGCUACAUUCCCAUGCAUAGGCACACAUAGACACAUGAUUUAAAGCACAAAACUAAAGUACUGAUUUUAGGUAUUAAAAGCAAUCUAGGCAUGAUACAUAGGAUGCAGAAGAAUGUGCACAGGUUAUAUGUAAAUUCCAUGUUAUUUUAUGGGAGAAAUCUAAUCACUUACACAUUUGGGAAUACAAGCCAACUCUCAUGAGAUCCAGGAACAACUAUAUACAAGGACAUUGACACAGGGAUGCAGAGAGCACCGGGGAUGUCUUAGCAGCUGGAAGCCUGAAAUAGCCAAACUUCACAAAGUUGGUAACGUCCCAAGUGCCAGCUGUGCCAAGCUUAGGGUGAUCUUCAUACAGGUAACAUGCAAAUGUCAAGACCUCAAAGAUCUGCCAUGCCUUGGAACCAAAGUGUGAUGGAUUCUGUUAUCAACACCAGACAACCAAGAGGCUAAAGAGAAAUCGUGUGCCCGUUCUGAGACAUCAGCCAGGCCACAUCAGUCACAGAUGCCCGUCAGUCCUCUAGGGCACACAAGCGGCUUGACAUAGGCUCCAUUCAGAAGCUUCAAGACAUCACAUCAUAACAACAUCAUUGAACAUACACCACGGCAUAACAUAACUGAUCUUACCCCCCUCUCUUUUGUGUGUGUGUGUGUGUGUGUGUGUGUGUGUGUGUGUGUGUGUGAGAGAGAGAGAGAGAGAGAGAGAGAGAGAGAGAGAGAGAUAUCUUGGAGAAAAAGAUGGAGAUCUUGAUGUGUCAAAAUCAUGAGCUUCCUAGGGUGAUAAAAACCAGCUCGGUUUCAACUUGGAAGCUAUGAGUCUAACUGAAUUUAAGGGGAGUGACAAAAACCAAACGGAAUUUAAGAAUAUCUGGAAAGAUAUUCUUGUUGGGUGGUCAAUGAUAGAGGUAGGGUCAUUUCAGGUAGCCCAGGUUGGCCUUGAAUUUGCUAUAGAGCAGGGGCUGGUCUUCAACUCCUGAUGCUCCCCAUGACACCUCCAAAGCAAUAAACUUUCACCACUACGUUCCUGUCUCAUUCUCUGUUUUCAAUUUUUCGCAUUCCCUUUCUGAGGUAGGUUUUCAAUAUAGCCCAGGCUGAUCUAGCACUAUUGCGAAGCCCAGGCUGCUAAAAGGAUACUUUAAAAAUAAGUAAAUGUAGCUUUAAGGUCCAUCCCAUGAGAUGGACCCCCACACCUGACACUGUUAAAGUGGCCAAGAGCCUGAGACUAGACGGUCCUCGGGCCUAGUAGAAAGCCUGCUAUUGUCAUUCUGCUAUGGACGAUAGCAAUGAAAUGACUCCUACUGCUAUGUUCACAGCUCAGAGCGUUGCUCGGCAUCAGCAGAAAAGAGCCUCUUCUUGCAGUAGAAGAUGGAUAACACAUUAGAGCCCUGCCCUCAAGGUUCAGAGAGCUGUGUAGAAGAGGGGCGGAAGGAUUAUAAGAGCCAGACAUGGUGGCUGACUCUAAGGAAACAGUGUCUUCCAGACACCACAGGACUGAGGCACACGUGAAUGCAUAGAGGCCGUGGCAGUGCACACAGGUCUAAGGCAGAGGAGUCCAGAACUGAGAGGGGAGUGGACAUAGGGCUCCAUGCCGACCCAAGAAGCUAUUUGUAAUUGCUACUUGCUGGGAAAGAGAAAAAUCAGUUUUCUCCAAUGGACUGUCACUGGGUAUAUCAACCACUCUCCAGGGCAGGCCUUGGGGCCAAGAGGAGUGACCAACAUGAACCAGACAUAGUGGUUGGUGUGUGUUGGGGGGUUUGUUUUGGCAUUUUUUUUGUAUUAUUGGGUUUUUGUUUGUUUUAAUUUACAUUUUUCAUUUUUGUUCUUGUCAUCUGAGAAUAGGAGAGAGAGUGAGAGAGAGAGUGAGAGAGAGUGAGAGAGAGAGAGAAAGAGAGAGAGAGAGAGUGAGAGAGAGAAAGAGAGAGUGAGAGAGAGUGAGAGAGUGAGAGAGAGAGAGAUGAGAUGUGGGAGAAAUUAAGGAGGGGAAAUAAGAUCUAAACAUAUUACAUGGAGCUGGAGAGAUGGCUCAGUGGUUAAGAGCUCUGAUUGCUCUUCCAGAGGUCCUGAGUUCAAUUCCCAGCACCGACAUGGUGGCUCACAACCAUCUGUAGUGGGAUCUGAUGCCCUCUUCUGGUGUGUCUGAAGACAGCUACAGUGUACUCAAAUAAAUAAAGUAAAUAAAUCUUUUAAAAAAACAGAACAUAGUGUUUGAAAAACAUUAUUUAAAAAAUUAAUAAACGAGGUACAAAGAACUUGAAUUGUUAGGGUUUGUUUGCCUAAAAUAUUAGGAAACAUGCUUCUUCAGAUUUGCAAGGAUCGUGGGUUAGCACUUUUUUCUCUGGAGCUCUGAAUGCAAGGACAGCACCAUCUGCAACUCUGCCCUCAGAUGCAGCGAUGCCCACUGUGCUUCACGCUCUGAGGUAGCUCUGAGCAGCUCACAUGCACACAGCGGUAGCGAUGCCCAGUGCGCCUGACACUGUGUUAGCUCUGAGUAGCUCAGGAGCACACAGCGACUGCUUUCUCAGAACCUGACUCUUGUGUUGUCCUCAACCCAAACCCUUCCCACUUCCCUUCAGGAAGAAUGACACAAUUACAGCUCCAGGAGGGCUUCUGCUCCCCAGUAUUUGAAAUCCUCAAACUGCUUCAUUUACUUGUUAGCAAUAAAGCAAAAUUGCACAGUUAAAGAAAAUUGUUGAGACUAUAAAAGCGCUUGGCUCUUCUCCCCCAAUCCAGAAGGUACUGUGUGUUCUUUGGAUCUCAGACAACGCUUUGGGCAGCUCCAGAUAAGGUAUCCAAUAACUGCACUUCGUGUCCUCAUUUUUCUUGCCCUCAUUCCAGAAAAAGUUGGACAGCUGCCUCCGGAAUAAUUUUAUUGUGAGGAAAGUUAUUAUGAAAACAUACUCCGCUGGUUUUCACUGACCUCCAAAACACACUCCCUAAUUAAGUGCAAAUGGGAACUGACUUGGAGCAGGUUGUCUCUGAUUUUGGACUUGGGAGCAUUCUUAAAGUUUAUGAACUCUAUACGCGAGCUCUGUCUGCCAAACGAGGAAUUUCUUAUUUCAUUUGGUGACUGCUCUGAGGUUAUAUAACGCUUCCCCCAAAAGCCCUGGAUGCUGAAGAUGCGUAAACCAUCUGUCUACGUUGAAAAGUCAGAGAGAGAGAGAGAGAGAGAGAGAGAGGAGACAAGAAAGAAAGAAAGAAAGAAAGAAAGAAAGAAAGAAAGAAAGAAAGAAAGAAAGAAAGAAAGAGAGAGAGAAAGAAAGAAAAAGAAAGAAGGAGAAUUCAUUGCCCCAGCGAUCUGUCUCCGGGAACAACUAAUUAUUUAUCCAGAGGAAUUUCCUCAUGGCUUUUUAUUUUAAUAUUGAGUUCCUACAUAACCGUAAAAUUUUACAGUACUGAAGAGGCAAUGAUGGUAUUCAUGCCCUCACGUCUUUUUAUAGGAGCCUAUUUGGCUUUAAUAUUUAAAGAAACCCGAGGACCUGGCAGAGGGAAGUGUGAGAAGAGGCCCAGAGGAGGCAACUUGUGCUUCACCUCUGGCCUCCCGUCUUUCCCUUCCCCAGCCAGCAGGGGACAGUAGUAAUAGAAGAAGGGAAGCUGCUUCCUUCUUGGAAUAUGAAGAGACAUAAACAAGGAGAAAUGAUGAAAGCUGAAGGGAUUUCUCUGACCUUCUCUGGUCCUCCUCGGCAGAGUUAAGCCUCAGGUGGAUUAACUUCCGGGUCCUCCGCCUGCUAACUUAGGUUGUGGCAGAUAUUUGCACGGCAGCAGUUAAGUGUCAGUCUCUGAGCCCACACUCUGCCAAGCCGUGUCCAAAGAUCAUAUUAUCCAGCCUUUUGACGAGGAGAAACGAGGCCGAUGAGCAUUCUGAUGUCUUGAAGGUAAAGAAACUGAGGCUUAAAGCCGUGCGCAGAUUGUUCAAGGUCACACAGCUAAAGCUGCAACCCGGAGUAACGAAAGAGUACAGAGUUCAAAGUUUCUCAUCAUUGACCCAGAGCCCAGAUAGGAUCCUGCUCUUCCCUCGAUCCUGCUCUUCCCUCUAGAACACUGUUCCUGUCCUGUCCCUCAACCUAGCUAUCUCCUACACAAACAACUUCUGAAGGACACAUACCGAAAUGGCAUAUUAAAGCUGUCUGCUGUAGCUAAGUGUACCCCAAAUACCUCAGCGUUGAUAAAACUGAGAGGAGCAGCUCUUUUCCUUGCACCCUUCUGGCUGGUAUCCCACAUAAGGUCCCUCAUGUUCCUUACUGCGUUGCACAAGGUGACUGUGAGCCACAGUGAGACAAACCUACAGAGAAUGACUUGGAGAACUAAGCCUGGAUUCCAGUCGCCAAGGUGUGUAAGAAGUCAAUGCUAAGCUCUGGCAAGGACCAGAGCUUCCUAAGAAUGUGCGUUUAGGACCUGACAGUUUCCUGAGGGUGAGUCUUUAGGAUCUACCUUGACACUGAGAUGCCUCCCAGAUGGGAUGGGACAGUAUUCUCC